UCAGACAUGGUGUAGUGGGAACACAGCCUCUUCUUCUAGAGAUAUGCUUUGUUUGCUGAGGCAGUCCAGGGUUCGAAUCCUUGUAUCUGAA